UUUUUUUUUUUUUUUUUGACAGCCAGAUUCUGUAGUUAAGUGUCAACUCGUUGACUUAUUAAAUAUUAACAAAAUAAAAUAGGGUGGUAAACGUAAAAUUGAAAAACAAGGAAAUGACAUACAAAGAAAAGCGAAGAGAGACAAGUGGAGGGAGUCAAAUGUAAUGCCAUACCGACAUCAAAUCGUCUUAAGGGCUCGAUGAAUUAAUCCUGUAUACGUAUGCAUAUACGUAUGUAUACAUUUAUACAGCUAAAAUACAUUUAUUUAUACGGUAGACGCCUGAGGGUAAGUCAAAUAGGACCAUUUAUGCUCCCUAAACUCUAGUAGUCCCAAAUGUAUUGGUCCGCCAAUUUUUUUCUUUUUCUCUUCCUCUAUUCAUUGACAACAACUUAUUUAUUUGGUGGGAUCGUACACAUACAAAUAUGUUUUUUACUGACUAGGAUGUUUUCAGUCCUGUAAUUGACAGAUUGACCGGAGUUGUAAUGUGAAUUAUGCGGACAUGCGGUAUUCAUUGACGUACAUUGGUCUCCAAUAUCAAUAGACGUUUUAGCAUAAUUGUGUUGGUUAAUCAAAUCCGCAGUUUAUGUAAAAAUAAAUGUUGAGCCACAGAUAUUGUUGCAGAUAUAUUGAUAUAGUUACUUUAAUCAUCAUGGGUGAAACAAUGAGUUUGGAUGGUUCAUGGUUAUCAUAAUAAAAACAUAAGCACAAUAAAUAAUAUUUUCCUACUAGUUGAAAUGAGUCUUUACUUGUAUUUAUCUUCAUCCUGAUUUUUUUAAAAUAUAUAUAAAUGAAAAAAAAAACACUUCUUCUUAUAUAAAUUCGAAACUCUUGUCUAAAAUAAGCUAAUAGUAGAAUGCAUAAAUAUUUCUUGAAACAUGGGACUAAAAAAAAAGAAUUUAAGGAAAAAUGAUUUGAAAUGAGUAAUUGAUCAUUGUUUUGGAGAAUGAUUAGUAUAAUAACAUAAUAUUUAAUCCAUCAAAUUGAGUUAUAUUAACAUAAAAAAUCAGGUGGACGAUAUCAAAACCAAUGUUGGUGGCAGUUGGUUAUAAACUUAUAACUUAUACCCCCAGAUUUGUUGGCGACGUUGUUCGUUUAAGUUUGACUCCAACUAUUAACUAACUUAACCGGAAUAUUCUUUGGUAGAUAUAACAUAUUAUUGUCUCUUAACUAACCAAAGAAAAAAAAAAUUAUUGUUUCUUAUAGAAAUUUUUCUGACGUCAGGAAAUCGUUAUCAUUUCAAAUUCGAAUACCCACUUUUUUGAAGUACUUUUUAAUAAUUAAUGAGACGUUGUGAUAUUCUCAGAUUAUUUUUGAAGAUUUUAAAAAGCUCAAAUUGAUUUGAUUGCUUCGAUAAAAAUGGGUCCUCGUAUAACAACUCUUAAUAAUGAUACAAUCCAAUACGACUCAUUGGAGAAUCACAUGUGAAAUAAUAUUUGGUGAUGAAGCCAUAUAUUUCGGUAUUGAUCAUCUUAUUAUAUUCUUGAUUCUGUUUUAUGAAACAACCAAAAGAUAUCAUAUCAACCCAAAAAUGCAAUCACAUAAUUGGAUAAUUAUUAUCAUAGAGCUAUUUUAGAUUCUAUAUUUUGAAAAAUCAAGAUAUAGUUAUAUAUAGUUGUUAUAUUCUCUUUUUUAUAUGUAUAGACAAUAGAAAUUAAUCAAGAAAAACAAAAUGACUUGUGCUGAAAUAUGCCAAUUGAUACAUAAAACAUUUGUUUGGUUCUUCAUGACCAUAAUUAAUAUUGUCUCAACUUUGACAAAAAAAAAAAAAAAAAAUUAAUAUUGUCUCAACAGUAUGAUUUUUAAGAAGUUAAAAUAAAAACAAGUACAUAAUUUUCGAAAACAAUUAUACUCUACUAUUUUGAUUAAGAGUUUUCUUAAACUAAUAAUCGCUAUAUUUCACACACACACAAAAAAAGAAAAAGAUAACGAACUUUAAUAGAAUUGACGAAGUUUGGAUUGUAUAUAUGCAAAAUUUGCUUCAAACUUGUUUUAGCUGGUUAUAUAUAUGAUGCAAUUGGGGAAAAUUAUGGGGAAAAAACCCGAAAAAACCGCCAUUUAUUUUUUAUUUGGCUGUUUAAUACUUCGGUUUAUUUUUUUGGAAUAAAAAUACUUUAUAUAUUUAUAGUUGGUAAAAAAAUACUUCAUUUUUUAAUUGUUGGUAGAUUCUAACCCACGACUUAACAUCCGUUAACGGACGUUACGAAACCAUUUAACGGUGAUAAAUUAUUACCUUACGUUUUUAUAAGGUUAUAUACUAUCCUUUUGUAAGCACUACAAUUAUAUUAUCCUCGUCUAGUGGCAACGUGUGGGCUGAGUAAUUCACAAAACCCAGUUUCGAAUCCCCAAUUUUAGUUUUUUUUUUAUUUUUUUUUCCAAUUUUUGUGUGUUCUUUAUCUUCUUCACCGGUGGAGACGGCGACUUCUUCCUCUCCGAUGGCGAUUACUCUGUCACUGCUUUCCGUGUCCUAACCACCGACCACAUCUGGUCUAUUUAAUUUUGUUAAUUGAGGGAAGUUUUUUACUUGAACCUUCAGAUUCAGAGGAAAACAAAAAAACAAAAACAAAAACGUGAUGAGAACAAUUUGUAUGAAUUUAAGGAACUAACGAAGAAACAAUUCAUUAGCAUCAUCACAUAUGGAUCCAAUCAAAUCAAAAAGCAAAAGAGGCGGAGGAGGCAAGGAAAACAAAAGAGGCGGACGAUUCAUGGUGGUCGACGGCUAGGGUUUCAUGGUUGUCGAGGAAGACACAGAAAAAAGCAAAAAAAAACAAAAAAACAAAAGUUGGAGUGUCGAACCCAGGGUCUUGUAUUUUACAAAACCAACGCAUUGCCACUAGACGAGGACAACAUAAUGAUAAUUGGGUACAACGGAUAGUAUAUAUUAGUAUAAACACGUAAGGUUAAAGUUUAACACCGUUAAAUAAUUUUUUAACGUCCGUUAACGGAUGUUAAGUCGUGGGUUGGAAUCUACCAACAAUAAAAAAAUGAGGUAUUUUUUUACCAACUAUAAAUAUAUAAGGUAUUUUUAUUCCAAAAAAAUAAACCGAGGUAUUAAACGGCCAAAAAAAAUAGAUGGCGGUUUUUUCGGGUUUGUUCCCGAAAAUUAUGCAUAUAUUUCUAUUGUAAUUGAUUUAAAAAGAAAAAAAAAAACAGAUAGAGAGAGGGAGAGACGUGAGGGGAGGCACAUGGAGAUGCAGUAGAUUUAGGGUUUAAGAAUGCAUGUGAAAAGUAUAGGUUAUACGACCCUACCCACCCCAAGUCCCUACAUCAUCAACAACAUUUUGGUGACAACCAUCGUGAUCUUUCUCUUUUUCGAUUUUUUGUUUUUCUUAGUUUCCACUAUUCAUGUUCCAAGAAUUGAAAACGUAGGUCCCAUUUCACACUCUCAAAAUCUCAUAUGUAUAUUUUUUUGUCAUUAUAAUAUAUAUAUAUAUACCAUCACUCCAGAAAUCUUUCACUAACAAAAAAUGAAAAACACGGUUUUCUCUUUUCUAUAUGCAGUGGAAGUAGUAAUAAGUUUAUGUUUCGAUUUUGAGAUUUCACGGUUACACAAAAAAAAAUUAAGAUUUGAAAGGCUUAAAUCAUGAAAGAGAUUUAAAUCAAAAUAAAUGAUGUUGUAUAUAGAUACAAGUUGGUGUUAUAUGACAAUUGGGUAGGUCAUAUCCAAACAAACUAGACAACAACAAAGAAAUGAAAACAAAAAAUCCCACCUGCAUUGGAUACCAAGUUACCAAACAGUAUGGUCAACUUAUGUUUAUGUCUUUAUACCACUUUGUAAUUGUCUCUCUUCAUAUCCUUUUCCAUAUAAAAAUCUAUGCUGUAUUUUGUUUGAAUGUUUUUUUUUUCUUUUUUGGCAAAUGGUUCCCAAAUUUUGAAACCAAUAAUAGAUUGGAAAACGACUCAUGCAGCAGCUAUAUAGGUCACAUAUAUAUCAUAAGAUUACUCUGUGUUUCGGCUCAACAAAACCAGUGAUUAAGAAAAAAGAAUUAAAAAAAAAAAAACUUAAAACCUAGAUAUGUAUACAAAUAUUACGAGUAUUUCCAAUGUAACAUGGGCCGUUUUCAUACUGUCCAUAGAUAUCAACGAUGUAAUUAACGUAUGAAUUGUAUUAGGCCUGGGCUCGUAUCAACCUAAUCAAAUAGAAAGGGCCUCUUCUCGACUUGUAGAGUUGCAUCAAGCCUUCUCCAACCUUAGGACAAAAAACAUCUAAAUGCGAGAAACAGUGAUACACUUCAACUAGCCUAAUACUUCAUUUUAGCUGUUAUUCUACCAUUUCUUGAACAUAUUUAUACCUAUUUUAUCUCAAAUUGGUUAUUCGACCAUUCAACUGGCGGACUACCUAUAAAAACUAGAGUACCAGAUUCUAGCAGAUGAUAUUAUAGUUUUAUAUCA
rnacentral:lncRNA from 1 species